UGCUAGGGCGGCUCUGCCGUCUCCAGGCCCUGCAGGAAACAUGUAAUGAAUUAUGGAUGCUUGCUUUGCUCAAAGAGGGCCUGAUCUGUAAUGCAGAUGAGCUGCCAGGCCAACCCCCCCCACCUGCCCCACCCCCCUUUUCUUCUAGGUUCUUAAAAAAAAAAGUUAAAAAAAAAAAAUCGGGGAGGGGGGGAAAAAAAAAUCAGUUUUAAAUCAGAAUCUGCCGUUUGCGCGUCCCCCACCGCAACAGAGGCUCCCGAAGCCGAUGGCAAUUCUCAUGCAAAGGCAGGGCCAGAGGCUGACAUUUUGAUUCUGCCUUAAUUAAACCACUUUGGAAGCAGCAUGACUCUGUUUUGGAAUGAGUUGAAGUGGUACAAGUUUUGUGCAGAGGCAUCUCUGUUUCAUAGUGACUACAUCCCUUCUGACAGUCCUCCCACAGCUAGCCCACCUUGCCUUGCUUCAGGCCUGCAUCAGGAUUCUGUGGCAAAUAUGAUACACAGAGCCAAAGAAGAUCCUAUACCCUUGAAGGCCCAGACCAAAUCUACCAUGACAGCCUCCUGCCAUCAGAUCCCUAUCGAGCAAGGGCAUCUGGAAGCUCAUUUGGGAUGAGAACUGCUCCCUUUCACCAUCCCUGCUGGCCUUCUGUGGGCAGAGGCAUCAUUUCCUUUCGUUUUCUUCGAGAUGCCCUGUGACUGUUCCUGUCUGAUCACAUUCCCCACUCUCCUCACCCUGAAGCUAACAUCUCUGCACUGGCUGGAGUAAGCCCAAAGGUUGUUAAACUCUGGUUUGGCUACUGGGUUUUGCUACAGGAAUGAAAGUGGAAGAAUGCCUUGUGCUGAUCCACACCUUGGUAAGAGCACCUUCUUCUGACAUCCCACCUUGGGGUUAAGCCUCCUCCCCUGGCUGUGGUGCUACACAUAUAAAUCACCUUUCUGUAGCUGGAUAACCCUUUACUUUAAGGGUCUUUUCCUUUAACUGAAAGCAGUAGGGACAGUGGAGAGACUGUGGCUAAAGAUGUAUUUACUUGAAACAUCCAGAGCUCUGAAUAUAUCACCAGCAUGGGCCAGAAUGGCCUGGGGAACAUCUGUGCUUCAUCUGUGCUCAACAAAGACAAAUACUUCUCACUGGGUGCUUUGUUCUUAUAUAAGUUUCCAUAUCAGUAGAAAUAAUUCAAUGUAUCUUGGUAAUUCUGUUAAGGCAGGCUCACCAGUUCCCCCACUUCGGAUUCAAUAGUAAUUACGUUGAUAUUACCUGCAGGUAUCUUUGUAAGAUAAUGCUGUUAAUGUCACUGCUCCAGAAGCUUUAUCAAUACAUUAAUUGGUACAGGAAAGUUGACAGCCUGCCCUUACAAGUGCUUGGCUUUGAGCAGCCUGAAACUAAAAUGAUUAUUUGAAAUUAUUUUCAUUUUUGAGGAUAGUGCUCUGCAGAGGGACAGCAAGAAGCAGCAUCCUUAAAUGGCACCCAGGUUUGAUGAAUGGAAAAAUAAUGCAAUCACUAUUUUUGUUUGUUCCUGUAGUGAAGGCACAUCCAAGGGCUUUGGUGAGGAUUAGGGUCUCUGUGCUCAGUAACAUGUUACAAACAUUUUGCAAUCAAAUAUGGAUUCCUGUAUAAGAAAAUGAAACUAUUCCCUUUCAGAAAAAUUGAAUUCCUUUCCCAAGAGGUCGAUAAGCACCCUUAGACAGCAGUGGUUGAGAAGCAGCUGCCAUGGUGUGGAGCAGAGCUUUCUGAUGAGGAUCCUAUACCUCUGAAAGGCUGCAGCAAGUUAAGUCCCAGCAUUAACAGAGAGCUUUGGGGGAAAAAUGUCCUACAAGAUAGAAACUUACAUCUCUGUCUUCAUUCCUCCAAUGCUGCAUUUGCAGACAGGCAGAGUUGGUGGUUCCCUGUGGCUGGCAGACUGCCUUGCUUGGGCAAGGCACGUGGCAAAGCUCUCCCCAGUCCCUGUUCCCAGUCCCUUUUGUGUCUGGCCAGUCUCUAUCAUGCAGAUGCUGGCAGAUACUCUUUGAGACAAUGACUACUAAUCUCUUUCUUCCUCCUCAGCAACAAUGAAAGAAGCAAGUCUAGUUCUCCUUCCCAGGCUUAUGCCUUCCCCCACUCACCUGAUCCAGCAUCUCCUGUUCCCACUCACAAAGUUUUCCGGUAGAUAGCUCAGGGACAACUUAAAAAAGCAAUCUUCCCCCACACUAGUGUCUCCCAGCCUUUUUAAGUCUUCCUCUUUAUAUUUUUUUUUUGGUUUUGCAGAAUUGAAUUUUACCUGUAGUAAGGAUCAGCCUUGAGCUGACUUUGCACUCUUAAGCUCUGCUGAGAGCUGAUCCUGAAUUGCAGAUUUUGCCUGGAUUUUGCAGAGUUUUCUGAGGUCGAGACCUCCUGACACUGCACAAAAAAGCCCUGAUGAGGUACCACAAAGGGGUAAUGAACACUACUGCCUGGAAAGGUGGUAGAGGCCCCAUCCCUGGAAACAGGGAUGUUGAUGGGGCUCUGAGCAAACUGAUUUAGUGGGAGAUAUCCUUUCUCAUUCCAAGGGAGUUGGACUAGAUGAACUUUAAAGGUCCCUUCUAAUCCAAACUAUUCUAUGAUUCUAUGAAUCUAUGAAAGUGGCCUGAAUCCAGCUGGUCUAGUUUCAUGUAUGGUUAAAAUUUUAAGGGCCUGGGCAGAAGGAAAAAGAGACGGAUGCAGCUACCUAAAUCUUUUUGGCAGUCAAUGCAAAGGUGUAAGCAAUGAUAAAGAAUUCCAGAGGUUGUCUUCCUUAUUUGUGAUGUGUGAGGAAAGAAGAGAGGACUCACUGGAAAUGUUAGUUGUCUUCACGCCUUUGAAAUCUGCUUCAUCUGCCCUUUCCAUAAAGGCAGGAUUUUAGUACUGAAUGGUGCCAUUUGUUGUGCUCUGAAUUAUGUGGCAGCAGUUAGAGCACUAAUUUAAGAUGGGGAUUAUCUAGCUCUUAGCUUUCCUCUGAUGCAGGAAGAAAUGUUCUCCCAUUUCCCAGAUCUCCAGCCCCGGAUAUUUGCUGUAUCCUGGUUGAUAGCAAUCACCAACUCUUCUUUCCAAGCCAAACCAGGGUACAGCCUGUGGAAGAGACAGCAAGCAGGAGGGAACCAUGCGUGAUCAGUCAUCAGGCAUGCACAAGUUUUGCUAUAGCUUUCUCCUAGGUUUUAUCCAGUCACACUGAACUCCACCAGAUCUGCCCCAACAUGGUGCAGCCACAACAACAAUAGGGAAAUGUCUGCUCCACCCUGGUGGUAUCAGGGGUCCUGGCUCAUAUGGAAGCUGAGAGAGGGUGCAGGUGCCUCUUGUUUUAUGCUUGGGUUGCUUUAGGAUCAGUAGCCUCAACCAUGCUGCCUGCACCAGCACUGCAGCAAAGAGUGUGGGCAAAACUAAGCCUGUGUGGAUUUAGCUGUCAUCAUCCAAAUGUGAAACUGUUGAAAAGGAGCAGUUUUGACAAACUGGACCAGUGUCUGAUAUUUGUAAACCAGCAUGUGUCUGUGUUCAUAUUUAUUUGCACCAUUCUUCAAUGCUCUAGUUCUUAGAUUGGUGUGAGGAUAGUUCCUUGGAAAUUAAUAACUGUUAGAGCUUUGUGGCUCAGUGAGUUGUUUACUUCCUUACAUCAUUAAUACUAUCCUUGUAGGGAGGAGGAGUGUUGAAAAUAAUAAACACUCUUUCCUUCAUUAACAUGCUGAAGGCUGUGGAAGCAAAGGCAAGACAUGACUGCUAGUUACUGUGGGGCCUCAAAAUACACCAGCCUCAAAGCUGGUGCUUCAGUCCAUGCUCAGGUCUCCUCUUCUUGCUGUAAUAAAGAAAUGAUAUAAUCACACAAGCCCAAGUUUCUAUCUUUUCUGGCAUAUUGACUGUUCUGCUGUUCACCUGUCUAUCUGUAUAUGUAUUGUAUGUACAUCACUUAGAAAACAUGCUGGAUUUUACACAUUGCGUGUGGGUAU